rnacentral:rRNA from 1 species
AUGCUCUGGGCGGUCCUGCACGAGGCUUUCAACUGCAGCAACGUGGACAUCUACGGGAGGCUGGCGAUUGGGAAAUCUACCGCAUUAUUCUUGUGUGAAGAGUGGACUGCCACACCUGUUUGCGAAGCCCUUGGUGACAUUGCUGAUGUAUCUGUGGCAGAUGAGAAGCAGCAAAUGAAAGCACUUUUUGAAAAUGUUGGAUCUUCAAUGUGUUCGGACCACUGUGAUUGGUUUGGAAACAGUGGUCUUGAGGCGAUGUCUCGAAAUGCUGAUACAUUACCCGUCAUCCAUUUUCUACAACUGCGUCCAACGAACUAUGAAAUUAAGAAAUUACAGGUCAAUGAAUUUGUCAAGAUUGCUAGAGCUGCAAACAUCCGUGCUUACAUAAUUUUCCAACUGAAGAAUGACAUAACUGCAAUGACGGGGAAAGCCAAGGCUCAACGGCGACUCAUUGACAGCUUACAUGAUGAGUAG